rnacentral:rRNA from 1 species
GACGAACGCUGGCGGCGUGCUUAACACAUGCAAGUCGAGCGGUAAGGCCCUUUCGGGGGUACACGAGCGGCGAACGGGUGAGUAACACGUGGGUGACCUGCCUUUAGCUCUGGGAUAAGCCUGGGAAACUGGGUCUAAUACCGGAUAUGACUUCACAGUGCAUGCUGUGGGGUGGAAAGCCUUGUGCGGCUGGAGAUGGGCCCGCGGCCUAUCAGCUUGUUGGUGGGGUGAUGGCCUACCAAGGCGA